GUUUGUUCAGCCAAUCAGAAGGCUUUCAGGCGCUUUCUGUCGCGUGCACAGUGGCCAGUGAAACCGGAAGCUGAGCUUGGAGAAUUUUCGUGAGUUUAGAGAGUGUAAAAUGUUCCAGAUUUUUCACCCGUCAACAACGGCCUACACAGCCAAACCGCCUAAAAGACAUAGUAAAAUAAAGAAACCAAAUCAGGAAGAAAACAGCUGCACAUUGGUAAAGCUGUCAUGUUUUGAGGGAGGCGCAGCAGAUCAUGUGCUACACAACUUCGGACCGUACGAAGUCGCCGAGAUGAGGACAUGCAGAGUCCAAGUUGAGAGAGCUCUCUCCAGCACAUGCCUCCCUCAUUAGUGUCCAGCAGCUGAAGACUCGAGGUCACAAACCCAAUGAACUGCCCAUUUCAUUCAGCUUUGCCGACAUGGAAAGAUGACCACUGUGACCUAAUGUUGCAGUAUGGUCUGACAGCACAUUGUACACAACAUACAAAGUAGCUUGAAUAACCCUUGAAUCUUGUGUGGAGUGCAUUAUUUUUUAUGAAAUUGCUGUAGUGUCCAACUUUUCAGCAUGCUUGUAGAUUUUAUUCAUUCCAUAAAUUGUGCAUUUUUCUAAAAAAAAAAAAAAGGGAACAGGUCUUGUGAUUUAUUUGCUGAACUGUGGGUGAUGAAAUAUUUAAUAUCCUGGGUAUUAAAAUGAUCAGUCUCGGAUCUAUUGAGAGGGUUGACAUGGUUGAAUCAGAACCACACUAAGGAACUGCUGCACAGGGAAUUAUUGCUUCAGUCUGAACAUGUCACCUCUACAAUAUUUCUAUGAUUAUAAUGUACAAUUAUCCUUUUUUUUUUCGUUCUCGGAUCUAAGUUUUCUCUAGCUUGUCAUUGUUAAAAGAUUUAAAGUACACAAUAUGAAAGAACAAUAAAGUCUAGACUCAAUGUCAUUGCUUGGAUUUGAUUUAUACACUUAAGUAUUUCACAUGCAUAAUGCAAAGUAGAGCUCUCACACUUACUGUACACAUAAUGUGACUAAGGUAAAAUGAGCAAGAUAAAAUUUCAUGUUUUAAUGCCCCAGAAAAGCUGGUUG
rnacentral:lncRNA from 1 species